UAACGGUUUCGUUAUAAGUGGGAAUUUGUGCCACCAUCCCCACAGUUAUCGAACGGAAAUUUCAGCGCCAUCUUUAAAUUUUUCGUUUAACUUCAAGUCGGUGUGAAAUUUGUGGCAUCUCCGUAAAUCUUGUCCCCAUUAGAAUAUGCAGCCAAAGCAAAUAAUAAAAAAACAAUAGACCCUUAGAGAACGUCAAACAAAAAUAGUGAGCUUAUCAAUUUUGAGUAACUUAAAAUCGACGUAGAAUGCAACUUGUAAAUCGCAAUGGAAUGUAAAAAAUAUUAAAGUGACGAAUUCGCAAGUUUUUUGCCAAUGGAAUUAUUUUCGCUGAUGUUGUAGUUUUGGAAUAAAAAGAAAAUCAUUAAAAAAAUAA
rnacentral:sRNA from 1 species